GCAAUUCUGCUUUGUCAAAAGUAGAAUCAACAACAGAAGAGGCUGCCUUAGUGUGUUCGCUAUCCUCUGCUCCACUUGCACCUUCUUGACGACCACCGGGAGGAAUUGGAAUAGGAGAUGUAGGUGGCUUUAAAUCUUCAUAACUGCCAAGAUUAAAUCAGUCAGCAAAUAAGAUACACUAUGCUUGCGUGUAAGUAGUUGGAUUAACUCAGGAAUGACUUAACGCAGUGUAUGGAGACAAAGGCCUUGUAGUCAGCAAUUCUGCUUUGUCAAAAGUAGAAUCAACAACAGAAGAGGCUGCCUUAGUGUGUUCGCUGUCUUCUGCUCCAGUUGCACCUUCUUGACGACCACCGGGAGGAAUUGGACUAGGAGAUGUAGGUGGCUUUAAAUCUUCAUAACUGCCAAGAUUAAAUCAGUCAGCAAAUAAGAUACACUAUGCUUGCGUGUAAGUAGUUGAACUAACUCAGGAAUGACUUAACGCAGUGUAUGGAGACAAAGGCCU
rnacentral:lncRNA from 1 species